GUACACUCCUACGGGAGGCAGCAGUGGGGAAUUUUGGACAAUGGGCGAAAGCCUGAUCCAGCAAUGCCGCGUGAGUGAAGAAGGCCUUCGGGUUGUAAAGCUCUUUUGUCAGGGAAGAAACGGUGAGAGCUAAUAUCUUUUGCUAAUGACGGUACCUGAAGAAUAAGCACCGGCUAACUACGUGCCAGCAGCCGCGGUAAUACGUAGGGUGCAAGCGUUAAUCGGAAUUACUGGGCGUAAAGCGUGCGCAGGCGGUUUUGUAAGUCUGAUGUGAAAUCCCCGGGCUCAACCUGGGAAUUGCAUUGGAGACUGCAAGGCUAGAAUCUGGCAGAGGGGGGUAGAAUUCCACGUGUAGCAGUGAAAUGCGUAGAUAUGUGGAGGAACACCGAUGGCGAAGGCAGCCCCCUGGGUCAAGAUUGACGCUCAUGCACGAAAGCGUGGGGAGCAAACAGGAUUAGAUACCCUAGUAGUCC
rnacentral:rRNA from 1 species